AGAGUUUGCUUUUGGCUCAGGAUGAACGCUGGCGGCGUGCUUAACACAUGCAAGUCGAGCGAAGCACUUAGGUUUGAUUCUUCGGAUGAAGACCUAAGUGACUGAGCGGCGGACGGGUGAGUAACGCGUGGGUAACCUGCCUCAUACAGGGGGAUAACAGUUAGAAAUGACUGCUAAUACCGCAUAAGACCACAGCACCGCAUGGUGCAGGGGUAAAAACUCCGGUGGUAUGAGAUGGACCCGCGUCUGAUUAGGUAGUUGGUGAGGUAACGGCUCACCAAGCCGACGAUCAGUAGCCGACCUGAGAGGGUGACCGGCCACAUUGGGACUGAGACACGGCCCAAACUCCUACGGGAGGCAGCAGUGGGGAAUCUUGCACAAUGGGCGAAAGCCUGAUGCAGCGACGCCGCGUGAAGGAAGAAGUAUUUCGGUAUGUAAACUUCUAUCAGCAGGGAAGAAAAUGACGGUACCUGACUAAGAAGCCCCGGCUAACUACGUGCCAGCAGCCGCGGUAAUACGUAGGGGGCAAGCGUUAUCCGGAUUUACUGGGUGUAAAGGGAGCGUAGACGGCUCUGUAAGUCUGGAGUGAAAACCCGGGGCUCAACCCCGGGACUGCUUUGGAAACUAUAGAGCUAGAGUGUCGGAGAGGUAAGUGGAAUUCCUAGUGUAGCGGUGAAAUGCGUAGAUAUUAGGAGGAACACCAGUGGCGAAGGCGGCUUACUGGACGAUGACUGACGUUGAGGCUCGAAAGCGUGGGGAGCAAACAGAAUUAGAUACCCUGGUAGUCCACGCCGUAAACG
rnacentral:rRNA from 1 species